UAUUAUAUAUUGAUUUGCCUACUAUAAAAUACAAGAUUUAUAUUCACACCACUUUAACAUUCUGCUUUCCUCUCCCAGAUUUUAUUCCUCCUUGCAUUGGGUGGCAAGGUCACAAGUGCCUGCAGGGAGCAGACUGCAGUCUGUGUGAGUCAGCGGGACCUAGAGUCAUGACAGGGGAGUGCUGAGGACUCUGGAGAACUAAGCAACUUAAAAAUAUUCAGGUAUCUUCAAGCCAAGCUCGUCUGCGGUUUCCCUCUGCUCCAGUUUAUAACCUCUCAUACGCUACAGCAUUUGAAAAGUUGGAGGCCAACACGAAAUGGCAUAGGCAGUAACCUGCACUAAAUGCUACGUUUUCUCUACUACAUUUUUUAUCUUACUGUUGGGUGGAGGAGACAGCAAUAACCAGUGACAUCAGCCAGUGACGUAUGAGACAUCUUCUCAGUGAAGAAAGAGGAAAGUGGGACCCUCAAGCAGAAGACCAGGGCGGUGGAGGAAGAAGAACACGAAAACAUAAAGCAAGCUUGGUGCAGGAUGUGACAGAAGAGAGACCCAGAAAGAAGUCACUAGAGCCAACCUGCAACCCGGGAGAGGAGCUGACAAGAGAUAGGACUCUCCAGAAGCAAGACACACCUCUGUAUUCAAGUACCAUUUCCUAAGAGUAGGACACAGUAAAUCCCUAAGCCACGGUCUGGCUCUUACUCAGGACUGCACGCCCAGCUCAGCAUGGACCUCAGCCCUAGCACAGCAUGCCUUACUCUGAGACCUCCUCUUCCAAAGGGGAGUGGUUUUCUCUUUUUAAAUGAGUAGCUUUGCAGUGAAAGAGAAAAUAAAAGGCCAGGAGAAAUCACAAGGGAUGACAAUUAUAUCAAGAAAGGUCACCAGACACAAAGAGAAAGAGACCAAUCACCCGCUGCCCUCUGACCCGGCCGCUAUCGUGUUUAAAAUACUCUGCUCUGGAUGCUCUCUUGAAUCAGUUCGCUUAACCGCUACAACAGUUUUCAAGGAAUUUAUUUCUCACGCUUCUAGAUUCUAGAAAUACAAGAUGAAGAUGCCCGCAAUUCUGAAGUUUAAUGAGGUCUUCUCUGUGUCACCAAGAUGGUGCCUGAUUGCGGCACCCACCAGAAGGGACAAACACUGUAUCUACGUUGGUGAAAGAGACAGAAAAGAAAGGACUCUCUCCUUCAAGUCCACUGAUAAAGGCCCCGCUCCACCUCAUGACUUACUUACUGCUUAUUACUGUCAGAUUCAUUUCAACUUUAGGGGUUCAGUCAGCCCAUCCUAGACACCAAGAAGCAAAUUUCCAUUUUGGAGUCAUGGACACAAUAUAAAGAUCACAAUAAUAAUGCAAAAGAGGUAAGAAUAAUAGAAAAAGAGUAUGUGAGUGGAGGGUUUGUACACAUAAAAUGAAGGUUCUAAAUACACUCCACCCUCUAGGAACUUUGAUAUACUCUUUCCAACAAUCUGUUCCAACCUUCCUGCCUUACAACUCUUUGCUUUUUGAAAAUGCCCUAAAAUUAUCUUUCCUUCUCCUUUAAGCAUUGUCUCAUCAUUAAUAGGGAAUGAGUUUAUGUAAUACAUACUUGUAUAUAAACAACAUAGGAAAAGCCUGAAGCGUUCUACACGUCCUCUUCUAUUACUGUGUUUAUGCUGUGCCCUUUCCUAUUCUCUAAAUGAACAGGGUUUUAAAAUUUCUGUUUAUAGUUUAUCUUGCCUACCAGCUGACUGUUCAU